rnacentral:lncRNA from 1 species
GAAAAAUCUACCUAUCAAGCAAAACUAUAACAACCACCAUAGUAAGAUAGAACACCACCUUGAAAUGAAAAUUAGGCUGGAAAUGAAAAUUAAGAUACGGUAUAAAUAACACCCUAGGACCUAGGCUGAGUGAUUUUUAAGAUGUUCUUUUCAUGUAGGCAACUGGUUUGAACUGCAUGGAGUUUAUGGUAUUAUAGCUUUCAAUUAGCUGGGCACAGCAAGGCCAGGCUAAGAAGUCAGUCUUUCUGAGGAGAUAGUUUGCCUUAAUAAAUGAAUUGUUUAGCUCAUUUAUGGUCUUAUUUUUCAGAAACCGGUAUCCCUGGAACAUGCAACUCAGCUACUUUUGCUUGAUCUUGGUAUUAUUUAACAUACGGACAGGAAAGAAUGAGUAGUUUCAGUACUGUUUAACACAGGGUCAAGACAUUAUGUUGACCUCUUUUAUCAGUAGCCUCAGAGAAGCAAAAUAUUGUCAGUGAAGAAGAGACAAAUU